AGCGGAGGAAAAGAAACCAACAGGGAUUGCCCUAGUAACGGCGAGUGAAGCGGCAACAGCUCAAAUUUGAAAUCUGGCUUACCUUUCGUAGUCCGAGUUGUAAUUUGUAGAGGAUGCUUUUGGUGAGGUGCCUUCCGAGUUCCCUGGAACGGGACGCCAUAGAGGGUGAGAGCCCCGUACGGUUGGAUACCAAGCCUCUGUAUAGCUCCUUCAACGAGUCGAGUAGUUUGGGAAUGCUGCUCUAAAUGGGAGGUAUAUCUCUUCUAAAGCUAAAUAUAGGCUAGAGACCGAUAGCGCACAAGUAGAGUGAUCGAAAGAUGAAAAGCACUUUGAAAAGAGAGUUAAACAGCACGUGAAAUUGUUGAAAGGGAAGCGCCUAUGACCAGACUUGUUUCUGGCAGUUUCGUUAGCCCUCGGGCUGAUUUACUCUGUCCAGUACAGGCCAGCAUCAGUUUGCUGUCGGGGAGAAAGGCUCUGGGAAUGUAGCUCCCCCCUUCUGGGGGGAGUGUUAUAGCCCUCUGCAUAAUACCCUUCGGCAGACUGAGGACCGCGCUUCGGCAAGGAUGCUGGCGUAAUGGUCAUCAGCGACCCGUCUUGAAACACGGACCAAGGAGUCAACCUUAUGUGCGAGUGUUUGGGUGUAAAACCCCAGCGCGUAAUGAAAGUGAACGUAGGUGAGAGCUUCGGCGCAUCAUCGACCGAUUCUGAUGUUUUCGGAUGGAUUUGAGUAAGAGCACACAGGGUUGGACCCGAAAGAAGGUGAACUAUGCUUGUAUAGGGUGAAGCCAGAGGAAACUCUGGUGGAGGCUCGCAGCGGUUCUGACGUGCAAAUCGAUCGUCAAAUAUGAGCAUGGGGGCGAAAG
rnacentral:rRNA from 1 species